rnacentral:rRNA from 1 species
GAUGAACGCUGGCGGCGUGCCUAAUACAUGCAAGUCGAGCGAACGGACGAGAAGCUUGCUUCUCUGAUGUUAGCGGCGGACGGGUGAGUAACACGUGGAUAACCUACCUAUAAGACUGGGAUAACUUCGGGAAACCGGAGCUAAUACCGCAUAAUAUUUUUAACCGCAUGGUUCAAAAGUGAAAGACGGUCUUGCUGUCACUUAUAGAUGGAUCCGCGCUGCAUUAGCUAGUUGGUAAGGUAACGGCUUACCAAGGCAACGAUGCAUAGCCGACCUGAGAGGGUGAUCGGCCAAACUGGAACUGAGACACGGUCCAGACUCCUACGGGAGGCAGCAGUAGGGAAUCUUCCGCAAUGGGCGAAAGCCUGACGGAGCAACGCCGCGUGAGUGAUGAAGGUCUUCGGAUCGUAAAACUCUGUUAUUAGGGAAGAACAUAUGUGUAAGUAACUGUGCACAUAGUGACGGUACCUAAUCAGAAAGCCACGGCUAACUACGUG